rnacentral:rRNA from 1 species
UACGUAGGUGGCAAGCGUUGUCCGGAUUUACUGGGCGUAAAGAGCGCGCAGGCGGUCGUUCAAGUCGCGUGUGAAAGCCCCCCGGCUCAACUGGGGAGGGUCACGCGAUACUGAUCGACUGGAAGGCAGGAGAGGGUAGUGGAAAUUCCCGGUGUAGUGGUGAAAUGCGUAGAUAUCGGGAGGAACACCAGUGGCGAAGGCGACUACCUGGCCCUGUUCUU